GAUUUCAACUAAAAAAGUUAUCAAUAACAAGGUUGUAUAACUCAUCAAGAUCUAUAACUUUUAUGUUUGUCAUUUCUUCAUCCGACAAAGUGUUAGUAACAUUAUUCAUAAAAUUGAUAUAUUUGUGUUAUAGUUUAUAAACCAGAUGAGAGAUAUGUGAAUUUUGUGAACAAUGCUACUAUCAAUUUGUCGGAUGAAGAAAUGACCAAAAUAAAAGUUAUAGAUCUUGGUGAGUUAUACAUCUCUGUUCUGGAUGACUUUUUCAGUUGAAAUC
rnacentral:pre_miRNA from 1 species